rnacentral:lncRNA from 1 species
CACACAUCUUUUCUAACGAACACAACGAACUCCAUGUUUUCUGCCUUUAACGAAUAUGCAUCUCGGAUCAAAAGCCAGAUUACUAAAGAUUUCUGUUUCAUGAAGGAAUAUGUUGAAAGACAGGAGAGAAACACACCGAGGUUCACUGAACAAGAGCAAAAAGCAGCUCAACAGAAAAUUGAAGAGACUAUUCACCAGCUCUGUGUGGAAAUGAACAAGCUCACAGACAUCAAAACCCAAACGAGUAACUUAUCUGAGAGACAUAGGUACAAAGGCUCACCUUCAACAAUGGAUAAAAUUACCCUUGAUGAGAAACUUAAUGUUGUCAAAACUGCUGUAGAAGAUCUGAAGAGAAAGUUGGAAAUUUUAUUUUUGGAGAAGUAUGCUCGGCAGUUCCUACCAGCACAACCUCCAGACUUCUAUCAGGAGACAAAUGUCUGCUCAUUAUCUCCAGAGUCUGCAGCUAAAAAUCCAGAACCAAUGAUUUCAAGCCAGUUUUCUCAGCGUAAGUAUGCAAGCCAGCGUGACUCUUCAGUAAGAAUACUCAAGUGACUACGAGACUGUGGAUUUGCUGAAGAAAACUGUACUUACAGACAUCAGCACAGGAUC